rnacentral:rRNA from 1 species
AGAGUUUGAUCCUGGCUCAGGAUGAACGCUAGCGGCAGGCCUAAUACAUGCAAGUCGAGGGAGAUUGUUGGAUUCGUCUGACAUGAAACCGGCGCACGGGUGCGUAACACGUAUGCAACCUACCUUUAACUGGGGUAUAGCUCAGAGAAAUCUGAAUUAAUCCCCCAUAAGACUACGACAUGGCAUCAUGAUGUAGUUAAAGCUCCGGCGGUUAAGGAUGGGCAUGCGGUACAUUAGCUAGUUGGUGAGGUAAUGGCUCACCAAGGCUACGAUGUAUAGGGGGUCUGAGAGGAUGAUCCCCCACACUGGUACUGAGACACGGACCAGACUCCUACGGGAGGCAGCAGUAGGGAAUAUUGGUCAAUGGACGCAAGUCUGAACCAGCCAUGCCGCGUGCAGGAAGACGGCCCUAUGGGUUGUAAACUGCUUUUAUAUAGGAAGAAACCUUUCCACGUGUGGAAAGCUGACGGUACUAUUUGAAUAAGGACCGGCUAACUCCGUGCCAGCAGCCGCGGUAAUACGGAGGGUCCAAGCGUUGUCCGGAUUUAUUGGGUUUAAAGGGUACGUAGGCGGGAUUUUAAGUCAGUGGUGAAAGCCUCCAGCUCAACUGGAGAACUGCCAUUGAAACUGAAAUUCUUGAAUAUGGAUGAGGUGGUUGGAAUAUAACAUGUAGCGGUGAAAUGCUUAGAUAUGUUAUAGAACACCAAUUGCGAAGGCAGAUCACUAAACCAUUAUUGACGCUGAGGUACGAAAGCGUGGGGAGCGAACAGGAUUAGAUACCCUGGUAGUCCACGCCGU